CAUGAAUCACCUCCCAAUCAUUACUGACCUGGGGAUCACGACCCUGGACCUGGCAGAGAACAGUAUCAGUCUUAUUUCCUCGCGGGGUUUCUCUGGUCUUCCCAACCUGGAGAGUAUAGACCUGAGCAAAAACCGACUGGAUGAUGACUCACUCAGCCACCACCUCUUCUCUAAUCUGACCCGGCUGAGGAGGCUUAACCUAGAUGAUAACCAGCUGACACGGAUCCCACUGCUGCCACC